AGCACCCCGUGCCGACUUUCGCUGGGCAACAGGGCAGGGAGAGGUCACCUGCUCCAGUCUUCUACCUCGGGUCAAGUCCAAGGUGAGUGAGCAGGUGUGCUGAGACCGAGGCAACUUGCUGGUGUGUGGCGGCACAGCCCCAAUCCCUCUACCUCAGGGCCCCAGUUUUUCUGCCUCAUCAGUCCCCAGCUGCAGCUGCAUCCCCAGGUCUGGAUGGAAAAACUGAGCCCCAGAACGAUUAGGUCACCCACCAAGGACAGGCAGCUAACAAGUGGUGGAAAAAAAGACGGCAGAACCCCAGGGUGACUGGUGGAUUCCAACCAGGUGACAGAGACAGAGGGGCUAUGUGGCCUCCUGCACACAUUCCAGACUGGGUGGAAGAGCCUGGGGUCCAGGAAUGCCAGAUUGUUACAUCUUGACCGCUUCAAGAAGAGAUUUGAAUCACUUUGGCUCCCUUUGGUCACUGGGCUGUGUUUUACUGACAGAGACAGACAUGGAGAGUGGGCCAUCAGGAGUCCAAGUGGAUGUGGGGGACACAGAUGACAGGACCACUGCAGGAGCACUUGCGCCGAAGGCUGGAAGUCAGACUCACUGUUUUCCGAGCUUUUUAUAAACUUCUCC